AACGAACGCUGGCGGCGUGCUUAACACAUGCAGGUCGAGCGAGAAAGGGGGCUUCGGCUCCUGAGUAAAGCGGCGCACGGGUGAGUAACACGUGGGUAACCUGCCUUUCAGUGGGGGAUAACAGUUCGAAAGGGCUGCUAAUACCGCAUUCGUCCACACGGUCACAUGUCUGUGUGGAGAAAGAGGCGCAAGUCUCGCUGGAAGAUGGGCCCGCGGUCCAUUAGCUAGUUGGUGGGGUAAAGGCCUACCAAGGCUUCGAUGGAUAGCUGGUCUGAGAGGAUGAUCAGCCACACUGGAACUGAGACACGGUCCAGACUCCUACGGGAGGCAGCAGUGGGGAAUAUUGCGCAAUGGGCGAAAGCCUGACGCAGCAACGCCGCGUGUGUGAUGAAGGCCUGCGGGUUGUAAAGCACUUUCAGUAGGGAGGAAACAGUAGCCGGUUAAUAUCCGGUUGCCUUGACGUUACCUACAGAAGAAGCACCGGC
rnacentral:rRNA from 1 species